rnacentral:rRNA from 1 species
CUCCUACGGGAGGCAGCAGUGAGGAAUUUUCGGCAAUGGGGGCAACCCUGACCGAGCAACGCCGCGUGCAGGACGACGGCCUUCGGGUUGUAAACUGCUUUUCUGUGGGAAGAGCGAGGACGGUACCACAGGAAGAAGCCCCGGCUAACUACGUGCCAGCAGCCGCGGUAAUACGUAGGGGGCGAGCGUUGUCCGGAGUUACUGGGCGUAAAGCGCACGCAGGCGGUCUGCCGAGUGUGGGGUGACAGUGGUUGGCUUAACCGACCAAGUGCCUUGCAGACUGGCAGACUUGAGGGCCACAGAGGGACAUGGAACUCCAGGUGUAGUGGUGAAAUGCGUAGAUAUCUGGAAGAACACCAGAGGCGAAGGCGAUGUCCUGGGUGGUACCUGACGCUGAUGUGCGAAAGCCAGGGGAGCGAACGGGAUUAGAUACCCCGGUAGUCCUGGCCGUAAACGAUGACCACUAGAUGUGCGGGGUAUCGACCCCCUGCGUGUCGGAGUUAACGCAAUAAGUGGUCCGCCUGGGGAGUACGGUCGCAAGAUUAAAACUCAAAGGAAUUGACGG